GACGAACGCUGGCGGCGUGCCUAAUACAUGCAAGUCGAGCGCAGGAAACUGACGGAACUCUUCGGAGGGAAGGCAGUGGAAUGAGCGGCGGACGGGUGAGUAACACGUAAGGAACCUGCCUCAAGGAUUGGGAUAACUCCGAGAAAUCGGAGCUAAUACCGGAUAGUUCAACGGACCGCAUGGCCCGCUGAUGAAAGGCGCUUCGGCGUCACCUUGAGAUGGCCUUGCGGUGCAUUAGCUAGUUGGUGGGGUAACGGCCCACCAAGGCGACGAUGCAUAGCCGACCUGAGAGGGUGAUCGGCCACACUGGGACUGAGACACGGCCCAGACUCCUACGGGAGGCAGCAGUAGGGAAUCUUCCACAAUGGACGAAAGUCUGAUGGAGCAACGCCGCGUGAGUGAUGAAGGUUUUCGGAUCGUAAAACUCUGUUGUAAGGGAAGAACACGUACGAGAGGAAAUGCUCGUACCUUGACGGUACCUUACGAGAAAGCCACGGCUAACUACGUGCCAGCAGCCGCAGUAA
rnacentral:rRNA from 1 species